CGUGUUUCAUUUCUGUUUAUUACUUGAAAUCACGGUGCCUGUGUAAGCUUUUUUUUUCAAUUUCAUGUUUUUAUAUGGGAAACUCACGCGAGGUGCUGGGACCCCCCAAAGCCCGACCCCAGAGGGUGGGUAAUGCUUUCUUGGGGAGGGGGCCCUGACGAGAGCAGAGGCGUUGGGCCGGUUCCUGCCUCCACCCUCAGACCCGCGGGAGGCACAGACGUUAUUUAAAAAUCGUUAAAAAACAAAACAGAACACACAUUUAAAUAGGUAUCCAAGACAGUUCUUCAAAAAACAAACCCGCCCCUUUUUUCUGUUUUUUUGUCUUUUUUUUUUUUUGGAAAAU